UUUUUUUUUUUUUUUUUUUUUUUUUUUUUUGCCUUAGAAGAAACACUUCUUGGUCUUCCAAUAAGUUGUGUAGAAAGACAAAUGAUUGAUGAGAACCGGUCAUUUUGAACCUCACUGGUGGGUGAAGAACACAUGAGGUGAGCAUCUGGAAAUUGAGGUCUUCCUCAAACUCCCAACUCCAGGUUGGUGCAGAUGAGCAAACAGAUGUCAGAACCAUUGGGUUUUCUUAAGCAAGACUAACCGCUAAGGUAAUAAUCCUAAAAUUUAUAGGGAAUGGAGAGUCUACGUAUCAGGUCCCACGCUUCAGUUAUUUCUGGUUAUUAAUUAUACAUGACACCCCAUCACUAUUUCUGCUCUAAGGGGGAUUUAUUCAGAGAGAGUCCAUCCAAUGUCAAGCAAUAGAAAAGGUAAAACAUUUCACAGAGCAGGAUUUUAGCAGAGGCCCUUGCAGGCUUGUGGAAAUACAACUCUGGGACCUGGACACGUCAAUAAUCUCUGCCAAUAAAUAUUCGGUUGCUUGAUUCAGGCCUUUUUAGCACAACAUGGAGUCUCUCUGCUUUGUUUUCUUUAAGCACAAUCCUGUAGAUAAGUAGCCACAAAGCUUCAAUCUACUUUCAAAGUGGCAGUCAAAUGUUACACUUCUCAAGUGUGGCAACAGACACACCCUGGAGAGAGCACUUUACAAGAAAACAGAGAAAUCUUACAUUCACAAUCAAACAAAGAAACCGAGAUGCCGAGUGAUAUGUGUACAGACCAAGAAAAAUGUGUCCUAACCUUGAAAGCCCAACUUAGGGGUGAGCUGGACUGUGCCAGGACCACAGAGAGAAGCUGGUCCCUCCUGCUCCAUUUUCCCUCCGUUUUCACAAUGGACACCUGAGCCUUGGGGUUACUGCACCCAACACAGCUUCACAGCGCGGGCUCCCACCUCCACCUGUUUUCAGUACUUUGGGCCCAAAUUUCCUGACAUCCUCACCGAGAGCCUUUCUGUGGCCCAUUCUCCUAGGGCACGAUUCUCCAGUGAUGGGAAUGAUUUUAGCUGCAGAAAUGGCACCCACAAUGGCAAGCUGGCAGAAAAGAUUAGUUGUUGACAAAACUCUGGGCACCUUUGGAGUCACAGCAUAUACAUAGCUGCCCACCUUGCUCAAGCGUGGAUUCUGUGCUCACGGUGCUACAAGUUCCUGGCAUGGUGGUUCAGUCAAGAGAAGGGGCCGUGCCUUUUGUGCUGACACUUUCACCCCAGGUCUCUAGCCUGUGGCAGUGGAAGACUAGUCUGAAGGUAACCAGACCUUUAGGGACAAAAGUUGAAAUAGUAUCUUGGCAUAGCCCUGCCCUCCAAAAGCUUAUAUACCCCUAGGAUAGGAACUAAUUCUGCCAAAUCCUCCGACAUCAGCCUCUCUGGGCAAAUCUGCAGGCAGGCCCCCAAAUUCUUGUGCACAGCCCAGUGUUCCUGAAGGUCGGUCACACGACGGACUGUAUGGAUUGUUACUUCUUUCCUGACCCGUCAGUUUAUUGGUAAUCAAGAAAUAUGUGUUAAAUUCCUAUUAUUGCGCCAGGUACCCGGCUGCAUGCAAGACUACAGUGGUGAAAACUACAGAUGUCCAAGCAUCAUCCACAGAAAGCAUCAAAUAGGCAAACAGAAUAGCAAAAGUGCAGGACAGCUCUUCAUCAGGCCUACUUGAUGCGCGGAAUGGCAGACUGCAAAAGAACGGAAUGCAAAGUGGUGGAAGUUGGUACCUGCCUGUAUAAUAAAACUCUGCAGCGCUAGUUGCUUAAGAAUAAUAGAUAAGUGUGGAAAGACUUAGACCCUGGGUGCGAGUUUUCAGUGUGACUGGGGAAAUAGGAUGCGAUACAUAGAUGGCAUGAGAAGAAUAAGUUCAUUAUAAGCACAAAUCGAGAACAGGAAGAAAGGUACAGGAGGAAGAAUCGUUUAGGAGAAUGAAGGGGCGGUUAGUAGAAGGGCUGCCUGGAACAGUAAUAGAAGGAGGUGAAGAGAUGUGUAAGAUGUAUAGUCAGAGCAGAGAAAGAUCUGGAUGCUCUGCGGAGUUUUCAGUGUAAAGGAAGAAUUGCUGGUGGUUGGAUUAAACCAUUCUGCAAAGCGCAUCCACGUGGGUGUGGACAAAUCUUGAGGAGUUUCUGUAGGAAUGUCAGGUAUGGAAACAAAACACAUGCUCCCUGAGAGGUGAGACUGUGUCUUUACCACUCCAGCAGCAGAAGCCAAAGCAGUGCCAGGCCCAGAGUAGGCAACCAGUAAAUAGCUGUUGAAUGAAUAAAUGAAUCUGGAGUUCCCUCGUGGCUUACCUGGUUAAGGAUCCAGCGUGGUCACUGUUGUAGCUCUGGUUACUGCUGUGGCGUGGGUUUAAUUCCUGGCCCGGAACUUCUGCAUACACAGGUGUGGCCAAAGAUAAAUAAGAUAAAAUAUGAAUUAAUGAAUGAUUAUAGAGAUAAAGGGGUCACUAAGGAAUUGCACUUUAGGUCAUUAAUAGGCAGAUCUGGGUGCCACUCUGGAUGCCACAUUAAACACCUGAAAGCAAGCUAUUAUCCCUGCCUAGGAAGCCAAAGAAACCCAGGCCCAGAGACACACAGACAUGGCUUGUGCCUGCAGAUCUGAACAGGAACAGAAGCAGAGCCCUUUCUAUUACAUAUAUCCUAUGAAAGUUCUCGGGGGUCUAUCUUAAGAGUCCCACAAGAAUGAGUAAAGGCAUUGGGAGUUGUUUCUAGAGAUUCUCCUGUGCUUCCAACACCCCAUCCUUAUCGCUCUUCCCACUGUUCUUCGUGACAUAACCUCCACUCCCGCCCUCCUUAGGACUGAGGGCUGCUAGACAGAUCAAGCCAUGAGCUGAUGGAAGAAAAGCCCACGCACAAGGGAACUGACAGACUGAAGGACGUUAGACCAAAUAUUGUUUUUGAAUGAAGUCCCAGAGCAAGUCAUUGCCACUUUCUAUGUAAACAUUUUUCUCCUUCCUUCACUUUGCCUCCACAGGUCUUUUGAUAACUUCCACUGUCCAGAGGCCUUUUGAAACCUGCCCUCAGCUUUUCUCAGUUUGGUCCCUUCGAACUGGGAAUUCCUUUUAGUCAUCUUCACAAUUGACCAAGGCUCGGAAGAUAGAUUUUUUUCUUUUUUUUUUUUUUUGAUAAAACUGUGAAUUUUUCUUGUGGAGAGAACAAACAAACAAACAAAACCACUCAUAUGAUGUUAUUCUUCCAAAGAACAAUGUUCCAUAACAGGCAGGGAACAUAAAGUGGGAGAAAGUGGCAGUGACUGAACCAGAAGAAUCUUAUUCCAUCGUCUCCAUUUUUCCCUGGAAGCUAACACCUGAGGAUCUCCACUUUUUUUCCAGCUUUACAGUCUUUCUUUGGGAGAAACCAAAAUGGAGCUCAACACCACAGAGCAAUUCCCAGCAGGGGAUAAGAAAAGCAAAGGGAGGAAUUCCCACCGUGGUUCUGCAGUAACAAACCCAAGCGGUAUCCCUGAGGACGCAGGUUGGAUCUCUGGCUUCGCUCAGUGGGUCAGGGAUCCAGCAUUGCCAUGAGCUGUGGUAUGAGUCCCAGACGUGGCUCCAAUCCUGCGUUGCUGUGGCUAUGGUAUAGGCCAGCGGCUGUAGCUUCAAUUUGACCCCGAGGCUGGGAACUUCCAUAUGCUCCAGGUUUGGCCCUAAAAGAUAAAAACAGAGAGAGAGAGAGAGCAAAGAAAAGCAAAUAGAAAUGAAGUAAAGAAUGAGACAAGAGGAGUUCCCGUCGUGGCGCAGUGGUUAACGAAUCCGACUAGGAACCAUGAGGUUGUGGGUUCGAUCCCUGGCCUCGCUCAGUGGGUUAAGGAUCCAGCGUUGCCGUGAGCUGCAGUGUAGGUUGCAGACACGGCUUGGAUCCCAUGUUGCUGUGGUUCUGGCGUAGGCAGGCAGCUGUGGCUCUGGCGUAGGCAGGCGGCUGCAGCUCAGAUUAGACCCCUAGCCUGGGAACCUCCAUAUGCUGCAGGAGCAGCCCAAGAAAUGGCAAAAAAACAAAAAGAAAAAAAAAAAAGAAUGAGACAAGAGGGGACAGAAGAGUACCAGUGAUGGCGUGAACAUGAAACAGAGCUGUGUCCUCAGGUCCCCCACCCCCAGGAGUCUCCCCUUCCUUACCUGGCAGCUGGGCAAAGGCAGUGAGUGCAGCUUUGAAGUGGAGCCCUGGGAUGCGACUGCUGAGCCAUCUUAGGUUGUGGGACCCUUUGAAUGCGUGCUGAGGAUCCGCUCAUCAUGGUCAGUGGAGAGAACAGAAUAUGAGAGUGGGGAAGCCCGUGAGGAAAAGUGGGACAAGGCAGAGUGGAGAGGAGGGAGGAGAAGAGCGUAAUAUGGGCCCCAGUGAGGAAGACUCACUUACUCGUCCCAUCUCUAGAGCGAUGGAUGACCAGUCAACACGAUGACUCUGUUCAAUGAAUGCUCAGAAAAGGGACGUAGCAGCCCCAGCAGAAAAUGGCUCCAUCCCUCUUUGGCCUCAGAUCUAACACGUGCUCUGGCCUUGGAACAGCUGCUAAGAUGUUCAUCUCUUGGGCAAGCUGAGGGGAGAAGUUCCACCCAUAAUCUCCGAUGAGGUCAACCAGAGCUCCCCUUGUUUUUGCUUUUGUUGGUUUGGUUUUAGUCUGGGGAACGUUUUUCCCCCAUUUUUUAAAGCUUUAUUGAAGUACAGCUGAUUUAGAAGGUUCCGAUCAUUUUGUUGUACAACAAAGUGAUUCCGUUAUACAUGUACACACACCCAUUCCCUUUCAGAUUCUUUUCCCACAUAGAUUAUCCCAGAAUACUGGGUAGAGUUGUCUGUGCUGUAUACACGAGGUCCCUGUCGGUCAAUCAUUCAUUCCAUCUACUUCGGUGUGCAUAUGCCAAUCUCAGACCCCCCGUCCUCCCUCCACAAUACCUCCCCUGUUUUUCAUUUCAUUGGUCUCCAGCCUCCCUUUGACAGUGAGAUUAAAGGGGCUGUGACUUUGCCUGUCUUGGUUUGCCUACUCUUUAGGGAUUUUCCUCUAACUUUUAAGCAUUUUUAAUCAAAAUUCAGUUAUGUGGAAUUGCUUAAUGCAAGUCCCUCCCAAGGAAAGGAGCAGAGCAAAAUGUGGUCCUUGAUAGUCUGCAUUCUGACUGGUACAAAGUCUCUUUCUGCUUGAAACUCUUUUUCGGUAAAUUGUCCUGGUUCACUAAACCCAGUGUUUUUCCUCCCAUCAUCACACACCUCUACGGGUCUUUCAGAGAAAUUCUUCCUUUUUGUUUUCUGAUAUAAGCAUCAUAUAAGCCUGGACAUUCAAAUAAGAUAGGCUGCAAUCAUUAUAAUUAGAAAAUAGCGAUAAAUUAGGGGGUUGGGAUGGACAUAAACAUGCCUUGUUACCUAAAUGAUAGGUAACAAGGACCUACUGUAUAGCACAGGGUAAUCUAUUCAAUACCAUGUAAUAACCUAUAUGGGAAAAGAAUCUGAAAAAGAACAGAUAAAUGUAUAUGUAUAACUGAUUUACUUUGUUGUACACCUGAAACUAACACAACUUUCCAAGUCUCCAAGAAAAUUUAUUGUUAAAAAAAAUCAAAAAGGACAAUAGCCUAGAGGUACCGUGUGUGCAUUUAGCUUAUGAAAACUAACAAGCAGAUGAAACAAAAAGGGUUUAGGGCUAGAAUGAGAAAUGUUCUAUAUAGCAGUGUUUGUCAUUGCACAUUGAAGAGGUGAGCUCAGGGACGAUCUUAAGCCCACCUGCCCCCUGCAUGUGCUCUUUUUAUAGGUGAGGUUUGGGACUAAAUAUCACCAAAAGGAACCAAUGAACAAAAGAAUUUAGGGAGGAGGCUUCAUUUAAGGACAACCUAGAAAGUAGGACUUUAAGGACACUCCACAGCUAUUUCUGUGGCCACAGUUAUAUAGAGCAUCAAUUCAACACCAUUUUAAUUCAAAAGACACACUGGCUUGUGACCCUCCAUGGGGUAAGUCACCUUGUGCUCAUGAGGGUAACGGGGUGGAGGUGGGGCACACUAAUUUGGAACUGUGGGGGCCAGCAGCCCACAAGCUCCCGCAGCACACUGUCAACAUUCAAGUCCCAGCUCUGUACAAUGUCCAGCAUAUGGAGCAUUCUGGCUUUGAGGCAAGUGACCUGAUAUUUCCAUGUUUUAGUCUGCUUCUUUUGUAAAGAUAACCGUGCCUAUGCUGUAAGUUUAUUGGCAAGGUUAUGGAUGAAGACAUAGGAGAGCUCAGCCAUGGCUCCCACUCAAUAAAUUUUACCUAUUAUUAUUAUUAAGCUUUCCAAUAAGAAUUACCAAUUCCUAGCAACUUCACAGCUUCAUAUCUUUAUCUUACUGGACCCAAAGGAAUCACGUUUCAAAAGGGGAAAACAGUUAACGACUAUCUUCUGUACUCUACCCACUUUCACUAAAAAACAAAAAAACAGGAAGCCUAUGUAAACAGGAUUGACACCUGCAAAACAAGUUAAUCAGUGAGGGAGACUAAGGUGCCUUAUACCAGCUAUAAUGUGCCAUAUGUAUAAGAUUCUAAAUUGUUCCAUAUAAUAUGAUCUGGAGCAGCUGAAACUCCCUUUCAUAUUAUCUUGACACUUUCUCCGAUUAGAACUCUGUGUCUCACUAACGUUUUCGUGUACAAGCUGGUCCUGUCCUACAGAGUCAUCCAAUAGCUUCUUUUCUGAGAGCUCAGAUCUUUAGACUGUCCCUCAUCCACAGCACCAGAAGAGCCAUGAUGAUGAUGUUCAGAAGUCCAUGCACUCAUUCUUCAUAGGGAAUUGGUUGUUGACUGAGCUCAUGAGAUUUGCAAUCUGAUCCUGACCUGUGGGCAACUCCAGGCUCUGAACUAAGGGUCCACUCCAAUUCCCAUACUGCAGCCAUCGUGAUGGUUUCCAAACAGAAAUCUGGUCAAGUUACCUUCUAUAAAACCUUCAGUGUUUAGAAGAAACAAAUCAUCUUCAGUGGAAUCCCACUGCUCUUUGGAUGAAAGCCAAAUAUUUAACGUGGCGCACUAGUCUAUGGAUCCUAACCUAGAUCUCAGAUUCAUGUUGAUAGAACUAUCCCCUCUGGCCAGACAAGCUAUAUAUUUGAUUCUUAAAUUCAGUACCAAGAGCAUCUCCACAUAUUGUUCCUGCCCCCUAGAAUGCUCUUUCCACUGACCCCUUCAGUCUUGGCUCAGGGAACCCAGAUAUCCGUUUGGUCCUUUGGUUGUAUGAGUUCACGGCACCACCUCAAUUUUUAGUUACAUAUUUAUCAGCAUAGGUAUUUAAUUAGUACAUCCAUAUUCUCUCUCUAGGAUACAAACCCCUGGAGAGCAGGAGCUAUUUGUUUAAUUCAUUAUUGCCUCCCCCUCCCUGCCAUUCUUAGCAUGUGGUAAACCUCUACAACCUAUUCACUGAAUGAAAGAAUUUUUGUCCUGAUUCAUUCAGUUUUAUAGAUAUAUUAAACUUUUUAAUUUAAAAAGUUGUCAGAUUAAUUUAUACAUUUCAUCAUCAAUCUUUACUAAAAUAAAAUUGAAAGUUACCCAAGACCAUGAUUUUCCUGGAAUUUUAUUGCCAGGGUAAGAGUCUUAAAGCAAAAAGCAAACAUUGCCUUCUUGGGGAGACUUUGCCUGGCAACUAUUUCUAAAAUUUAAAUUCCUGCCUCAAUUCUCCUCUAUUCCACUUUACUUGUUUUCUCGACCAUUUGUUGACGUUUAAAUAUAUUUAAAUAAGCUUCGCUAUUUUACUGUCUGUCUCCCACUAGUAGAAUGUUAGCUCCAUGAGGGAGGAAAUUUUGACCUCUAUGUUCACAACCGCAUUCUCAGUGCCUAGAACAAAGCUUAGAACACAUUAAGACCUCAAUAAAUAUUUGUUAUCAGAUACUAUAUCUCAACUCGGCACAAUUAGACCCAUCAAUUCUGGUGCUAGUAUCUUCUCGACAAAACCAUAUGUACCAUCAGAAAAACAGAGAGCUUUUUCUAAUGUGAUGGGUUUUACAGAAUGCUGCUGUCCAAUAUGUUAGCCAUCUGCCGUGCAUGACUAUUGAACUCCGAAAUGUGACCACUCCGAAUUGAAAUAUGCUGUAAAUAUAAAAUACACACUGGAUUUCAAAGACUUAGUGUGGAAAAAAAAAGCAUGCAGAGUAUCUCAUGAAUAAUUUUGUACUGAUCACAUAUUGAAGUGAAACUAUUUUGGAUGUACUGAGUUAAAUAAAAUAUAU
rnacentral:lncRNA from 1 species